rnacentral:rRNA from 1 species
AGAGUUUGAUCCUGGCUCAGAACGAACGCUGGCGGCAGGCCUAACACAUGCAAGUCGAGCGCUACCUUCGGGUGGAGCGGCGGACGGGUUAGUAACGCGUGGGAACAUACCCCUUUCUAUGGAAUAGCCUCGGGAAACUGAGAGUAAUACCAUAUACGCCCUUCGGGGGAAAGAUUUAUCGGUGAGGGAUUGGCCCGCGUAAGAUUAGAUAGUUGGUGGGGUAAUGGCCUACCAAGUCUACGAUCUUUAGCUGGUUUUAGAGGAUGAUCAGCAACACUGGGACUGAGACACGGCCCAGACUCCUACGGGAGGCAGCAGUGGGGAAUCUUAGACAAUGGGCGAAAGCCUGAUCUAGCCAUGCCGCGUGAGUGAUGAAGGUCUUAGGAUCGUAAAGCUCUUUCGCUAGGGAUGAUAAUGACAGUACCUAGUAAAGAAGCCCCGGCUAACUCCGUGCCAGCAGCCGCGGUAAUACGGAGGGGGCUAGCGUUGUUCGGAAUUACUGGGCGUAAAGCGUACGUAGGCGGAUCAGAAAGUAUGGGGUGAAAUCCCAGGGCUUAACCCUGGAACUGCCUCAUAAACUCCUGGUCUUGAGUUCGAGAGAGGUAAGUGGAAUUCCAAGUGUAGAGGUGAAAUUCGUAGAUAUUUGGAGGAACACCAGUGGCGAAGGCGGCUUACUGGCUCGAUACUGACGCUGAGGUACGAAAGUGUGGGGAGCAAACAGGAUUAGAUACCCUGGUAGUCCACACCGUAAACGAUGAAUGCCAGUCG